UAGCAUUGCACCUAAUACAAGUUUCUGUGUAUUCAUUUGGUCCUAACUCUGGUGGGCAGCUGGCAUAAAUCGCACAUGUGGCAGUGGGGCUCAGUGGCUUUUGGCAGAAAGAUUUAUUGUAACAGUAAAUCAUGCAUAUAUAGAAACCAUUAGUUACAUUAACAGGAAAAUGAAAGGAAUGGCAAACCACUAAACAUUGUAUGAUGUUUUGUUGCUGCCCAUUUUUGGCACGUUAUAUCUCAGUUGUGUCUCUUGAGGUAUUUAUUAAAUUCAUCACUAUUUUUUAUUUAAGUGACUAUAGGAUAGGAGUCUAGAAUCUACCCAGAAAUAAAAUUAUUGAAAAUUCAAAAAUGUUGUAUAGUGAAGCCUUUGGAAACAUCACCUAGUUGAAAGGAAUACAAAUUUCAAAUUAUUAUUUUUUCUCUCUGGGUAUUCUUCCAUCCUUGAUGAAUCAUUCCAAUCUCAUGAUUUUGUUUGCUAGUUUUAAUUUGAGAAGUUGAAAAUAAUCCAAACAGCACUAUGGUACAAAUCAGAGCUCUUCUACAUUAAGUCCUUUAAUGCACACGAAUCCCCAAAUGAAGACAGGCAUUUUCAUUGAGGAGACCAUGAAGUAGUCUCAUAGAGAAUCUCAUGUUUGGGCCUAAUAUUGUGAUGGAUGAUGUUGAUUGGGACCUCCCUUGUUUAGACUCCCAGAGGAAUUUAACAUCCAGGGAAACUUGUAAGAGUGUUCAUAGUGAGAGAUUUAACUGCAAUGGAAUGGUCCACCUGGACUGUGGGUGCUAAUGUCUGAUGAAAUGCAUGAAGGAAAAGAACACUACAAGCUGGGGACAGAAUUCACCUUCACUGUGGAUACAAGAUGACAGCAGCACUCUGCUCCUGCCUCCAUGUUUUUCCCACCAUAUCCUUUGAGGGGAAGGAAUCUAACAGAAAAUGUCUUCACAAAAAUCUGCCUAAAAUCAAGCCUCUGAGAUAUUUCAUGGAUGAUUGACCGGGGAAGAUGUCGACCACUCUGGGAGUUACCAUCGCAUGGACAGCUUCUGAAGCGGCAAGCAGAGGGCCUACACAGGUCUGCACCAGUUCCUCUGGACUUAAAGUAUACCUUUCGGGAAUGAGCUCAAAGCACCUAGCAAAGAAGGACAAUCAUCUAUGAUAUUAAAUCAACAAAGGAACAACAUUCAGCUUUGAAUUUUAUGAAGUUUUACAUAAACUCCUUUUAAAAUUCAAAUUCAGGAAGACAGAAAGAAAAUCUCUAAAAAGAAAAAAAGACACCGAAUAGACUCUAAAUGUGUAGGUGCCUAAAGAAGAGCGGAUAGCAACCCAGAAAGAAGAAUAUGACUUACAAAGAAGAAUAUGACUUAUGCACCAAGCUUUCCCAAGAAAAAGUUGGGCACUGGUGACACUCCUUCUGGAGUUUAUUUGCUCCUUGGUUAAUGGCCUCUUGGGCAAAGAACUGCCCUCACCUCGACCACUGACUUUGGACAUGCUGUCCUACUGUGUCUGCAGCAGACAAACAGAAGACUGCUGAACCUUUUCAAGUCAAGGGAGAUUGUAGCUGUUGGAGAUAAUUUACUUAAGAAUAUUGAACAGAGUCUACUAUCAAAAUAUUGUUUUCAAAAAUGAGAAGAACAUUUGUUGCAGUUUCUUCCCUUUGUUGAUUUUCUGAUUGCACAGGUUUCCAUAUCCUUGACACAUUUCCUGUUUAUGUCAUUUACUUCUACCUGCUAAAAACACAAUACACUGAGUCAUGAGUUAUUUCAAAGCACUGAGUUCAUCCAGUACACUCACACGAAAUAUUGAAAUAAAUAUGUGAAUGUAAAAAUUCAA